GUCGGAGUGGCGGAAUUGGUAGACGCGCUAGGUUGAGGGCCUAGUGGGCAGUUAUGCCCGUGGAGGUUCGAGUCCUCUCUCCGACA
rnacentral:tRNA from 1 species